rnacentral:lncRNA from 1 species
CUUUUUCUGCUCCCGUAGCUGAUUUUCACAUAUGUUGCAUAUUAAAGAGGAUAUGAGUUUGAUGCUUUCUUCUGAUAAAAAAUGAAAAUUUUAUGAAUUAUUUUUAUUGGACUCAGAGGUUCCCCAGUCUUCAUCCAGGGUCCUGCUGCGUUAGGCACUGCACAAACACAGGGCUCAAAAGUUUACAGCGACUGUAAGAAGAGCGAAUGAAGGAAACCACUUAGAUCCCGGUGCAGUCUGAAUAACUCUGCUAAGAAGCACAUUCAGGACUUGUAGCUUGGAAAGCCAUACACAUGUGGUUUAACCUAACAGAAAGGAGGGGCAGCCUGAUGUGGUCCAGAAGCUGUGUUUUUCUUCAGCAGUGGGCUCAGGGAGUUUGGUCACCAGCUGUUACUGCUGGAUCUGCCAUCAGCUGCUGCAGCCCUGGCCUCCUGGGAAAGGCUUUCUAAUGAGGAUGGAGGCCUCGGGGCUCUGAUGUGGAACAGAGGCUGCUGCAGCGAGAGCUAAGGAGAUAAGAUCAAUAGGAAAUGCAGAUUUGCAACAUAUUAGAAACAUGACAGCUUCCACGCAUACCCUGAGGAAAGGAUUUUUAACUCUUUUAAAGGAGUGGCAGAAAGUCUACGCCUCAUGCAUAUAUAUUUGCAUAUAUGUGUGCCUAGAACAGAACCAGGAUGUCCCCAUUCAUACCAAGAGGAGCCUCAGGUUGCAGUGCGUGGGGGAGGGUAACACAGCCAGUGGCUGCAAGCUGCAAUAGCCAAGUGGACAAGGAGCAAACUAUAGGCUUUUAACAGCCAGGAUGAGUGACUGCUGAAAGUGCUCAUAGAAGGAUGGGAGGAAGCUGGUAUCACUCGAAGCCUGUAAUUCUAGAGCAGAACUUCUAAAUUGUCACUAAACUUCAGCCACACACUGCUCAAGCUGGUCAAGUAAAACCUGAAGCAAGACUCCUAGACUGACUAGAGCACUAUGAUAGCCCCUCCUGGAUUGUGAGAAUUGUGUACAUUGCUAUGAUGCCCUAGAAACACUGUAAAGAGUAAUUCAGGUGUUGGUAUCACAUCAUCUGGUCUACCUGCACCUGCUUUCCAGCUGCCUGCUGUGUUAAAGGUGCCAGAAAUAAAUGCUGUGAUCUGUUUGGAAUGUAUUUUGAA